rnacentral:Y_RNA from 1 species
GGCUGGUCCGAAGGUAGUGAGUUAUCCCACAUGAUUGUUCACAGUCAGUUACAGAUUGAACUCCUUGUUCUACUACUUUUCCCCCUCCUCACUACUGCACUUGACUAGUCUUAA